UUUUCUUUUUAAUGUGAGCGUGUUCUCUUAUGUCACUUUAAUAGCUUAAGCAAACUCUAAACUUAUUUUUUCAGUUGUGGCAAAAUGCGCACAGCGCUACCGUCUUAACCGUUUUUAAAUACACGCUUCAUUGGUGUUGGGACAUUCACGUUGUUGGGCAACCAUCGCUACCGUCCGUCUCCGGAACUGCUUUCAUCUUGCAAAACUGGCAAACCUAAAAAAUAGCAUCUUCCCCAUCUGUCUUGUUCAUCCUCCCUAUUCUUGUAUUCUUGACUGCUCUUUCGUUUUUGCCACAUCAUAUCCUCUCCCAGCCUGCUCACCCUGAUGGGGUAUUUUCUAAUGAACUCGCAAACAGAGCCGCUCUAUUUCAGGCAAUCAGCAUUUGCUGAAUGUGGAAUUUAAAUUCUGUCCCAGUGAAGUGUUUGAUACCUGUCGUCCCACCUGGGACCAAGUCAGAUGCAUCAGGACACCUGCCCGACGUCACUGUCGUCAGCGAUGUUUUCCCCUGUGCAGGCUUGGGACAAAAAGCCUCGGUCCUGGUUGUUGCGACGGUCAGAAGAGACGAUUUAGUCGAGGCUCGUGCCUUUAGCAGAGGCCUUUGUUUCGUAGCCUCCGACCCUCCGUUCUUUGGUCUUUACUUUGCAGAGCACGUUUCCUUAAUAAGCUUGCUUCAGCCUCUGAAGCGUUCCAAGUAGAAGCUUUACUUGGAUAUGCAGUAACUUGCAGCCAAAAUGGUGCCAAGGUCCCGACCACAUAGUCACUGUCACCUUGAAGUUUGUGAAACCAACAAAAAAACAAGUGCCACAGCGAGUCUGAUUUGACCACUGAAUUCUCAGGUCGUUUUGUCGCGAUCUGCCCUCAGUUCCUGCUCCCUUUUCCUUCGCCAGCUUGUCCAAAUCUGCAGUCAGAGCUUCCUCACUGUCCCCCGGCUGCUGAAACCACUUUCCCUGCGCCUUCCCAGGCAAGCAGGCGGUAGAUGAGACUCAUCACACCGAGAUUUGUGAGCCAGACCACACGGUCAGAAUCCUGGCUGUGCCAGGAUGAUCACUGUGACUUGGGGCAAAUUAACUUAAUUUCUCUGAGUCUCGGUUUUCUCCACUGUAAACUCUGCCAUGGUUUGGCAUUGGGGGAUGAAAUGAGACAUUCUGUAGAAAGUCCACAAAUGGCCGGCACGUUGUAGACUCACCACACUGUCAGUUUAUCUUCUUCAACUUCUGGGUGAUUCCUGCCCUCUGAUCAUAAAUGAGCUUGACGGAGACCUUACCUUCUGCUUACCUUGCGCUAUACUCUUGGUUUCCAGAAACCAUGGUUAAAAUGGUAGUGUUAGAAUAACGUGUGUCAAGAUUGAUUAUCUUAGGUGGAGGAGAAAAAAAAUACUGAGGAUCUCAAAAGAUAAAGAGGUUGGACUUAAUCCUACAGCAAAAGAUGUUUGUAAUCCAAUGGACACACAGAAAUGCACUGAGGAAAAAAGUCGCAAAGGUCGCGUGAAAUGCCGGGAAGUUAGACACGAGGCAACGAGAAGAAGACUGUUCUGCGUAACACUUCCGCGUCAUGGGGAGAGUGACCUGUGCUAUAGUGAAGUGCACUUAAGGUGAUGUAUCACAUUGAUUGAUUUGCGAAUAUUGAACCAGC